GCUUCUGCAGCUCAGUUGGUAAUAGAGUGCUGCACCAGAAUUGCAGGGCCGCAGGUUCAAUUCCUGUCAGCGACC